ensembl:lncRNA SILC1 sciatic injury induced lincRNA upregulator of SOX11
GGCAGUGUUUUGACGACUGCCUCACUAAAGGAAGCUAAAAGCUGUGCUGAUGCCUCCCAGACGAGCCUCGUUGGAAGCACAGAACCUUCACGGCUCGGAGCCGCUGACACCGUGACAAAGGGAGCCCUGCUCAGGAGGAAAAGUAGACAAGAGGGAGAAAUUGAGAUUCAAAUAAUCCAACACUCAGGCAGAUUGCCUGCUAGCAUGCUUAUCUCUCAUCAGCACAGUGAGGGAGGGGCCUGUGUCACUUUACAGAUGAGGCAGAGGGUCCCGCAACUCCUUAAGGGUGGAACUAGGAUUGGAAACCACUCCUCCUGGCUCCUCUUUUCCUGCCAAGAGCGCUGCACCAGCUCUGGAGGAAGCCUCAGGAGAGGUUACACAAGUCUCAGCUGCCUGUGGUAUUUGAGUGGCCAUGGAGGAUGGAAUUUAUGCUGCUGGAAUAACUAGAGCCACUGCCCCUCAUCUGCAGAGAAGACACACUAUCUUGCAAUUGCAGAACUCCUGUGCCUCGCUUUCGAAAUUGGUCAUAAGCUGGAGGCUGAUGUUAUCUUUCCUCACCCUUCAGACCCAAGUUCCCCAACUCCUCUCACCGCCCCCAACCACCGCUUUAAUGACCGGUAAACAAGCAGCUAAAUGCACCAUGCACUGAGGGGCUCCAGCGAGGGGAGGAGGUGACUCUUCUGAAGAAGGGCUCCACCUGAGUUACUGAGUCAGCGAAAAGGCACCUUUAUCCAGGCCUAGAGCAAAACGCAAUCAGCCUUCACAGGACUGGUUUCCCAGCCAUGAGCUUGGGGGACAGGGCUGGCUGCAACGGGGGCUGCCAAGGGCCCAGGUUCUGUGCUGGAAACAAGAGCACUCUGGUGGACUCGGAAAUACAGCGCUGAGGUGGGUGGGCUUUAGUCGGAGCCACCUCCCCGACAUUCCUGCCCCAGGCUUCUCUCCCAGGCUUUCCUUCCUGGCCCUGCCAUUCUGCAUUCCUUACCAACCUGCUGUAUUCCCACUCUCGGCUGCCAGGAAGCCUCCUCUUCCCCCGAGCUUUACAGCGUUCAUUAUUUACCUUCCAGUUUGCACAGUUAUAUCACUGGAGUUUAAGCACACUUUCUAUGUGCAGAACAAACAUUCGCACAUGCCACAACGUACAGUGGGCUGUUUUGUGCCACGUGAUGUGCUACUGUAUGCAAAUUAAAGACGAAGUUAACAUUCCCUGUUGCUGGCUUUUCCAAGUGUGUGGGUAUCCAUUAUAGACUUCAAUUCUUUGUAAAUAUUUCAAAGGAAGAAACUCAAAGAGAUGAUAUGAAGGUUGUGAAAUUCCCCAUCAUAAAAUCAGAAACUGAUUAAACCUGGAACAUGCAAAGCCAAUAUUGAUUUCAGCAGCAAAACCAAAAUCAGGACAAGCAGACAAUAUUUUCAUAAUUAAAAAAGAAAAUGAGCUCAUGUGAAGAGAUGUUAUCAUCACUCGUAACUUGAAGAUGCUUUUGGAUACACUGCAAUAAUUCAGCUAACGUUAACAUAAAAAUGAAAGAAAUUUUUCCACAUCUGUAUUAUUAGCAAAUGAAUUAGGCAAUUAAUAAUUUGUUUGCUUUAAAAUGUCAUUUUCAUAAACACAAUUUAAGCAUUAUAUAUUUAUGACAAUAUCUUUCAUUUUAAAGUUAUUUUUACUUAGUGUUUAUUGUAUGUUAAUUCGCUCUCUUUCUGUUCCUUUUUUAUUGUCAAAAGUCCAUAUUAUGUAGAGAUAAUUUUUGCUAGCUAUUGUAAUAUAUAAUCUUGUUAGAAUAUAUUCGUCCAUAAUAACAAAUUAUACAUUUAUCAUAGUAUGUGUUUUACAAAAAAAUCUCCUUUAAUGUAACCCUAUUACAGAAAAAAAAA